rnacentral:rRNA from 1 species
AUUGAACGCUGGCGGCAGGCCUAACACAUGCAAGUCGAACGAGUGGCGGACGGGUGAGUAAUGUCUGGGAAACUGCACGAUGGAGGGGGAUAACUACUGGAAACGGUAGCUAAUACCGCAUACCAUCGGAUGUGCCCAGAUGGGAUUAGCUAGUAGGUGGGGUAAAGGCUCACCUAGGCGACGAUCCCUAGCGGGUCUGAGAGGGUGACCAGCCACCCUGGAACUGAGACACGGUCCAGACUCCUACGGGAGGCAGCAGUGGGGAAUAGUGCACAAUAGGCGCAAGCCUGAUGCAGCCAUUCCGCGUGUAUGAAGAAGGCCUUCCGGUUGUAAAGUCCUUUCAGCGAGGAGGCGUUACUCGCAGAAGAAGCACCGGCUAACUCCGUGCCAGCAGCCGCGGUAAUUA